CCGGGUUGCUGUGGGGGGCGAUCCGCAGCCGCCGAGGCGCAGGCUGCGGGGGAGGGGCGGGGGCUCCGUCCCAGGCGCUCGGGUGGGAGCCUGGACGCGGGCGGGAGGAUGUCUGACUCAGAGCUGCAUCCUCUGAGGCAGACACACUUCACGUCGGUCCGCUCCUCCCGCCCUCCCCGACUUCCUCCUCACGUCCAGCAUUACUCUCAAUACACCUUUUUAAAUCUCAACCCGAGGAGUGAAUUUUCGCGACAAGGGAACGAGAGGAGCAGUGAAUGAGUCUGGUUUCCCCUCUAGGGAAUGGCACUUACAGGGAGAGCAGGGCGCUUGGCUGGGGCUGCUCGCUCGGGUUCUGCCUGUUGUUGCGCGAAAUGGCGGCUGGCGUCUUGGUGGGUUUGGUUGUCGGUUUUUUUGUGUAGGUUUUUUUUCCCUUCCCCUCCUAUUCCCCUCCCCCCACUUCUGCCUCGGCCGCGUCUCCGCAGCGAACCGCGGCAGAGACUGAGUCAGGAGGGGGGCGGGAGCUUUGCGGAGGCCAAUAGCCGGGCUGGCUGGGCUGCCCCGGCGUGCUCUGAUUGGCUGGUGCUGACAUCAUCCUGCAGCAGGGGCAGCCGCAGCUGGGCAGGGUUGGGGAGCUGUAGGGGGAGGCUGGUGCAAAGGGAGAAAACGGGCGCCAUGAUCCCAGCGCGAGGGAGGACUUCACGGGCAGGGCAUCCCUGAAGACCUCCUGAAAAGGAAAGCGGGAAAAGGCCGUGGCUUCCCCUUUUCAAAAAACGCUGGGGCUGUGAGGAGAGGCGCGGGGGAAGAGCGAGAGAGGAGCAACUUGCGCCUGCAUUUGUAACUGCGUCAGUACAAGAUGGCGCAGGGUCUCCCUGGAGAGGGAAGGGAGUUGCACGUCCGCCGGAGGUCAUGUGACCGCGUUGCAUUCUUGCGGGGUUUGGCUACAGACCAAGCUGGCUAAGGCGGCGGCGGCGGCUGCUGCCGCCCGGGAGAGUCCGUGCUUCCCUUCCCUUCCCCUCCCCCUCCCUGCACAAUACGGUCGUUGCCGCGCUGAUUCCCUUUUCCCUUCCCCCAUUAACCUUAUGCACGAGGGUGUAGCUGCUGCCGAGGAAGCUUCUCGCUUUUUUCUCUCCACCCCUCUCCAGGGUGUAGCUGCUCCUGGCGAAGCUUUCCAUUCCGCCCCCUCUCUGCCUAAGGCUUUACCUAGGGCAAGGGAAAGCUGCCGCUGGGCACCUGCUUGCUCCGCCCGAGCGCGGAGGCAGCGGUGCGCGCUCCCGCCCGCGGCCUUUGCUGCUGCCGGUUUUACUAACGCAAAUCCCACUUCAGUUUUCUCUCUCGGCUUCCCUCCUUUUAUGUAUAAGAGCACUUAUUUAUGUGCAAGUUGGCUUCUUCGGGCUAAUUUACGGAAAGAUUCAGUUUAAAUGAUUCCAUUAAAACAGCUGAGGAAAAUGUACAGACUGCAUGUGGAGUUGUUCUUCUGAGGGGGGGACCUUGUUGUACUUUAAAUAUUACUUUGCUAGGGGUAUACAGAGGGGAGAGGAAGCUAAGGAAAAAGCUGAAAGCUAUUAAUGGAUUUAUUCUAUUUGAGCACAAUUUCUAUAUGGAAAAAUGGAUCAGUCUUCUUACAUGUGUGUUGUUGCCUCCCAUUUUAGCAGUGGAGCAGCUUUCUCCUAGGGUAAUGAGGCAUGUAGUACAAAGUUAGGCCGCAGGUGGCCUGUCUCUUUAACGCAGAAAUUCAAGUAUGUACUUAAUGGAAAAACAACUCUGAUAUGCAAAUAUGUUGAAGAUGUCCCUUGUACUACCUUUUCUGAGGUUCAUAAGAACACAAACUUGUCACUCAGGUCUGGGUGGGUGGGAAGUUGGACAGAUGUAUUUUCUGCGUCUGCCUAUAUCCUGAUAAGUGGGAAUGAAAAAUGCAAGCUUUUUAAUCCUGUCAGUAUUUUUUUUUUGAAGUAUGCAAUUUGUUACCGUUCUGGUUGUUUUUAUUUUCGUCUCUGAGGCAAUUCAUUGCCUGUUCCCAUGUCUUGUUCUUGUAUGGUAGGGUGUAACUUUAGCCAUUGCAGCUAAUCCAACAGUUCAAAAUUGAUGUUUUAAACUUAGUGGUUUGUUCUGCUUAGAAGUCUUUCACAGAACUUUGUUCUUAGUAGGUCCACAGAUAGGUGUGAAUUUCUUCUUCGGUAAUAGUGUAAUAGCAGACAAAGCUUGAAUUUUUGAAUGUAUUGUGUGAGAACUACUGGAAUGAAAGUUACUGGGUAUAUGACUAACAUAGCAGACUCCUGUAUAACAGACGCUACUUAAUGCAUGUUACAUAAGUAAUAUGGUGAGGUGGAGUCUAGUUACAUAAGAGCUGACUGGGGACUUGAGAGCUCCUGUAAGUAGUGCAUAUUAGUUGCAGAUAUAGCCUACAGCGGAUGUGUGUGUUGCAGUGGGGGGGAGGGGGUAGAGGAACAAGAUUGGAAGCACCUAAUAGUACUACAUUUUUCCUUUGUAGGUUAUAUAAAGGAUACCAGAAAAGGAGGCAGUAAUUAAGCGUGACACACUAUGAAGCUUUUGCAAGUUUGGAGUCUCAUUUAAGUCUAACUUUUUGGAUGUAUGUUAUGUUUCCUAAAAGUAAAACCCUUUCUGAGUGUCAGAUGAUGGUUGUCAGCUGAAGCAUUACAUCAACCAAUUUUGUUCUGUGCAGGUUACUCUAAAGAGCAGAAUUCUUGAGUUGUACAGGUUGUGUUGAAUUUAACACCAUUUUCAGUAGACAAAGCUCAACUAGCAUUAUGGGGACACUGGGUUUGACCAAAUGCUUCAGUGACUCUGCUGAUCCUGCCUCUAUAGGCAUAAUAUGACACGAGGUAAAUGCUCUCUUUGUAAUGAAAGGUUCCAGACAAGCUUUCCAUGUACAAUGAUCCUUUUAAUGUAGAACUGACUGACUUGAGACCUGCAAUAGUAUUUCCUUGUAAGUGUGUUAAAUGAAGAACAUUAAGGUGAACUGAAGAUCAGGAAAUACGCUUCACCUUUAUUAGCACUUACGUUUGUAUUCCAUAAGUAUGGAAUGGAGAAUGAUUGCCUACUUCAUUGCAAGGGAAGGGUUUGAAUGUUUGUUAGUGUUUCAUAUGGAAUACCCAGAAAUAAAGUUUAACUAUGGCAGCUACA
ensembl:lncRNA